UAUUUGCAGCCCCUCCAUCCAAAUCACACAAACGAAAAUCCAUUUUUCCCCACCCGGCCACCUCUCUCCCCCUGAUUCCUCUGUCUCUCUCGCACCACAGCGUUGUCGCCGCCAACUCCGAUCCCAGGAAGCUCCAGCGGACUCCAACCCACUGCUCACCGUUCUGCCCCACUCCAUCUAUGUUCUCCUCUGUUCCUUCGCCUGAGGCCACCGCGCCCCUGCACGCGUGGCACGCAACAACCCUAGCCGCCACGCGUCGCCGGCGUGGCUCCGGCAGCUCCGGUUUAUCGACCCACUACCCCUGCGGCCCUGCCUCACCUCACGCGCGGCAGCACGCUCGAGCUUGACGUUGGUAUUCCGCCUCUUCUACCUCAACUCCGGUGUUGACGUUUCUGGUUCUGGUGUUUACACGCUCGAGCUUGACGUUGAUCGAUGUACAACACUUAUGCAUUACAAUCAGGAGAAAUCCAUGCAGAAGAAGCCUGAAGAAUUAUUCAAGUUAUUUGUUUAUAGCAUGGUACUUCUGAAUUCCUGCAAUCUCUGUACUAGUUUUGUAUUUCGUGGGGAGCCACAGAUAUUUCCAAAUACUAGAAUGAUGCAUGAUUGGUCAGCACACAAACUCUUGGCCAGGUUCCUCUCACAUCUUAUCUUGUUUGUAAUAUAUUCUUCUUAAACUGUUAACACGAUGAGCAUGUACUUGUUUCAUCCAAGAACGUAAACAUGAAAAGUAUUCCUCUUGUGCACUCUCCUUCCCUGACAUACAGGGCACACUACGGUGGUUGGAUGAUACAACCAUAAACAGACAGCUAAGCGAUCAGAUGCGGCGACUGUGCGAGUGUGUCAGGACCUUCUCCUCUACCUACUCGGGCCAACAGUUUCAGCAUCCAGCAACCAUUGUGACAAAGAUGAACGUACUGGAACUGCUCUAAGUUUCAACAUUCUCGGUUACAGAGGCUCGAUUGUUCCAAGUCGAUGUUGUUGGCGCUAAAACAUAAAAGACUACUAGUGCCAAGCUGGAUUUACUAGGAGAUUGCAAUAUUCGAUGACGCAUGGCUCAGAUGUUGGUUGCAAGGUCAAGAAUAGGGGUGCUACUAGAUAGUUUCACAUUAUGCCUUAGAAUGCCAUUUCCAGUGCCAAUGUUUCAAUCAUUAUGUUUCGGAUAUUUUUGGUGUCAAUAUUUCGAUCAUUAUGUUUCAGAAUGGCUGACACGUUGGCUGCAAGGUCAAGAAUGAGAUUACUACUAGUUUCACAUCUUGUAAUUUUUGUAUGGUGUACUUUGUAAUGCAACCAAGUUGAUUUAAUAUAUGAGAAAUUUCUGUUUA